GGGCUGCUGCGGGACCGGCUGCGAGAGGCGGGCGGCGGCAGGAGGGGAGGGCACCGGGUGCGGUUGCCCAGCUGGCUGGAAGCGAAGGAAGGGCGAUGGCGUGGAUUUCAGCGUGACGUCUGGGGGAAUGAGUGGUGGCUGCUGAAGGAGCUGAAGAGGAAGAACACCGUGGCAUGGACGGGUAUCCUGGAGAAGACAAUGGUAAAGCUCCUGCACGAUGAAUGUGCUCCAACCAGCAGGAGAAUGCAGGGACUGGUUCACUCUUCCCAGAACUAAAACCGGAAAACACAGAGUAGCACCAGACAUGAGUCUUUCAGUACUUAAAAGGGGCCUAUAAGAAAGAUGGGUGCAUAUGCCCUUUCACUACAUUGCUGUGCCACUCCACAGUGUGAUAACUGAUCUGUAUAUUUGUUUAUGCCAUAGAGUUACAGUAGCUCUCAUGUCAUCUUAUUCUGCUGCACAUUAUGUUAAAUUCAGGACAGUAGUAUAUGAACAGUAGGGACAAACUGAAGAAACUUCAGGAGAGAUUGACAGAAGCAACCUGAGAUUUAACAGAAAAGAGUCGGAAAUGUAUAUAUAUGCAACUACAUAAAAUGUAAGAUGUAUUUAUGGGGAUUUAGCCUUUGGCUGGAGCAAAUCAAGGUAUGUGCCUUUUCCCUAGUAAUGGCAGAAGAAUGUAAAAUAUAAUCCUAUACACGUGAAACAGAUACCUAGACAGUUCUGAAGAUAGGGCCAACAAGAUUUAUAAUACAAGCACUGGACACUACUUCUGCUAUAGCUUGUUAUACUUUACUUAGACUUAUGGGUGACUCCUCUCUAAUUUUGGACAUGAACCGUUCAGUCACUGAUAAGACUGAAAGGUAAAGGAUAAGCUUAUGACAGGUGACUUUUAAUCUGUGGAUUCCACACAAUAAAAUGAAAGUGGCAAACCAGUA